GUCUGUGCCAGCAUGGUGGGGGGACAAGGACGGGGGAAGGACCCGUUUUUGCUAUCAGCAGCCCUGCUAAUUGCUUUCCGAUUUUGCUGUAAUUGGGCAAGUCACCUGGCCUCCCAUCUCUCCUUAGGUAAAAUGAGGGUAUUGGGUGAGCCUCUAAACUCCUUCAAGGUGUGCUGUCAUAUUUGAUAGAUGUAACCCCAGCACAAAGAAGUUGACUGACUUUGGGCCGCUAACAUAUUUCUUACAUACCGAUCACAAACGUGAUUUGACCAAACCCCCUUCGACUCAAUAACCAUCUCAAGGAGAUUGGAUCUAGUGACCCGGAAGCCACUAUUAUAGUUGACUUCCCCUUGGGCUCCGUGCUGUCUCGUCUGACCUCCCCACACCCUCACUUUACUUGACCAGGCUUUGCUGUUACUUGCUUCUUGAAGGCUCCCAAAGUUCAAACCAGUUCAUCAGAAAGAUUCCUGGGCUCACAAGACUUCAUGGAAAUGAAAGCUUUUCACUCCAGCCUGGGCAGGAUCAGACUGACCCGGGUGAGACUGUUCUGAGUGAGUGGUACGUGUCUAUGAUCUGCCCGACAGCGUGGGAUGUACUUCAGAUUUCAGUGCGGUGACUACUGACCUAUUUCUCGCUUGGCCGGGAGUUACACAAGCCCAUGUGUGCAUUGGAAACAGGACAAUCAACGUAGCGCAGAUCUUCUAUGUGGAAAAGGGUGACAAUGGACACUUCCUGUGCUCAGGAAGCACAUCAGCUGGGAGACUCGGAGUGGCCGUAGCCCUGAAUUUCCGCGUGGAUUCAGCAUGAAACCAAAUGUACAUUACAGCUGCGGUGAUGAGAGCGAAGCUUUUACCAUUUGUUUUGGACUCCCGAGCUGAUAUGAAUGGGAGCGGGCAGCUGUGGAUGGCCAAAGCAGGGCCACUGGAAGUAAAGCUGGCAUUGACAAGGGCAGACAGGUGCAGAAGGAAACCUGGUUUUGGAUGACAUUGGUCCCUGGACUGGAGAGAGCUCAAGCCCUGGCUGCAAAUCGUUUGCCUUGAAGAGACAUAAAUGAGAACCACAACUGCCAGAAAAUAAGGUAUCUGAAUGAACAACCUUGAAAGCUUUUGAUUGCCCAACAAGAGACUGGAAAAGGCCUUUCUAGAAGCAAGAGAGAAGAGGAGCUAUGUGGGAUCCUAUGAAGGCUCAAACAGAAGCGUAGAUACCAGCGUCCAACUCAAAGGAGUUGGCCAGGAGUGGCAGGAAGUUGUUGGAGAGGGUGCUUGGAUGGUCAUUCCUCCUCUCAGCCAGUAGUGAGCCUUUUGACGCUGCUGACUGCGACUGCUGAUAAGCUGCAUAAGGCAGGAGGUCAACAAUCCGGAGACUGCUCUUAAUUAUUAAAGGAUCAACACGUCUUAAUGCACGCAUCCACCGGGGAGGCCAGAGAACUGGGGCUCGGGGAGAGAAGUCUUCUCCUUCUCUUUAAAUUGGCAAAAACAAACACACGAAGCAAUUGUCGGGGGUGGGUGGGGGGGGGAGCUAAAGGGUUGCCCCUCUCUCCUAACUCUAAAUUUGGAACCGAGAAUAUUGGCACCUCUUCCUCUCCAGACUCAAGCUGCCCUGUCAUCGAGGAGUGGGUUUGCAGAGGUGAUCUCCACUUAACGAACUGAACCUUGACUCGGCCCCACGGCAAGGAGCGCUGGGACCCAACAGCCCAGGGCCCCAGGGGAGCUUUGCGCGACUACUCUGCGUUAGUGCCUUCUCUUGUCCUAAAUUAAGCUCCUUGACAUAUAAUUAUCCAUCCCACACACUGAACCUAUCUCCAAGGUAAAUGUUUCUGCUCGGCGAACACUGGUUCACAGGAUAAAAACAAUCCUCCUCUGUCUCCUCCCUGUCACCACCGCCAGCCCCACGGAUGAGUCCUUGCUGGGUGCCCUGGGCUCAGGGCUGGGCUGCCUGCUGUGGCGAUCACACGAAGCUACAGGUGAGCCCGAGGAAGUGGUGAUUGUGCCUUUUCUCCCUCCUUUUUUCUUUCUUUCCACAAUUGGAGGGAAAGGCGUCGGGACUGGUCAAGAGCGAUGCAGGUGGAUUUAGUACGAAAAGAAUCAGGACACCAUUCCGUUGCAAUACUUGACAACGUUGCAGAGGAAAAGGGCUUCAUAAAAGCAGCGGCCGGGUGGGUUAUCUCCAAACGCGUGUGGCUCCCGAGAUGAGGACACCAUCCCGAAAAUUUGACCGCAAUGCCUAUAAGCUGAAGUACCUGUUCCAGAUCUGUGCCAGAUGAGGUUUCGGGGGGGGGGGCGGGUCUGCAUGAGGACCAGCGAGUUCAUGGCAGCUCCCAGGCUUAAUUAUCAUGGUGUUGCUCUCAGUAGCAGAGCAAGCGAGGAACAGAGACAAUUCACUCGGGAAGAACAUGGCAAUGUUAAGCAAAUGGCCAAGAAACAUGGAAAAAUGGGCUCAAACAAACUCAUAAGCCUGAAAUUCAAAUGACAGCCCUCUAUGUUUAUCUAUCAGGUUUGCAAAGAGAAAAGAAACAACCAUACCCUGUGUUGGCAAAGGGUACCGGGGAGUUACUAGAAUCAGACUGGUUUAUGCUUCUAGGCUCUUCCUCUUACUAGCAAAGGGAACUUGGGCAUGUCAUUUAUGUUCUCUAAGACUAUUCUCCUCAUCUGCAAGAUGCAGAUAAUAUUAGUAACCACCUCCAAGGGGGUUUGGGAGAUUUAUGUAAAAUCAUGCUUAUAAAGUGCUUAGUGCAUCAUCUGACACAUAGUAAAUGCCCAGUUAAUAUUCAAAUUAUAAUCAUUAUUGGAAGCUAGAAACCCAACACACUGAUAGGGGAGUAUAAACUGGUAAAACCCUAUGUAAUAAAAACUUGACAUGUAUGUUAAAGCCUUAAUGGUGUGUAUACGCCUGACUUAAGCACUUCACUUCUAGAAAUCUAUUUUGAGGAAGCAGGACACAAUCAUGUGUUUAUGAGGAUAUCCUUCAUGGUAUUUAUGACAAAAAUGGAAGCAAUUUAAAUACCCAAUGGUAGUUAAAAAUGAAUAGUAGUUAGAAAGUAGUAAUUAAGAAGUAGUUAAAAAUUAAGUUCCAGUCGCUAUCUCCAAGAGAUGCAGAGCAUAUUUUUGAGAAAUACUUGAUGGUGGAGAGAAAUGAUACGCUGUGAAAAUAAUGGUUUUCAAUUAAUGGAUUCCCUAUUAUUUGUAUUUUUUAUUAAUACUUGCUUGUCAUUUUAAAUUUGUCUGUAAUCAGUCAACAAAUACUUUUUUGGGCAUCUGCUGCAUAUUGGGCACUACGGUGGGCACCAUGGAUUCAGUAGUGAAUAAAGCAGACAGGGUGCGCCCUCGCGGAA